rnacentral:rRNA from 1 species
UACGGGAGGCAGCAGUGGGGAAUUUUGGACAAUGGGGGCAACCCUGAUCCAGCCAUUCCGCGUGAGUGAAGAAGGCCUUCGGGUUGUAAAGCUCUUUCGGCAGGAACGAAACGGUGGAGGCUAAUACCUNUNAUCAAUGACGGUACCUGAAGAAGAAGCACCGGCUAACUACGUGCCAGCAGCCGCGGUAAUACGUAGGGUGCGAGCGUUAAUCGGAAUUACUGGGCGUAAAGCGUGCGCAGGCGGUUUUGUAAGACAGAUGUGAAAUCCCCGGGCUUAACCUGGGAACUGCGCUUGUGACUGCAAGGCUUGAGUGUGGCAGAGGGGGGUGGAAUUCCACGUGUAGCAGUGAAAUGCGUAGAGAUGUGGAGGAACACCGAUGGCGAAGGCAGCCCCCUGGGUCAACACUGACGCUCAUGCACGAAAGCGUGGGUAGCAAACAGGAUUAGAUACCCUGGUAGUCCACGCCCUAAACGAUGCCAACUAGGUGUUGGGGAAGGAGACUUCCUUAGUACCGUAGCUAACGCGUGAAGUGGCCGCCUGGA